AAAAUACAAAAUUAGAUCUAAAAACCAAACUAACUUCUCGGUAACCAAACUGUCAGUACCAGAAAGUCAUAUAUGAAUUUGGGUAGCUAUAAAAAAAGAUCUACUGGCAAAAAUAUGCAGAAAUAUGGAAAAUGACCUAAGGUUUCAUUACAAUAUCCACUACUAAAGGAACUUUCGUCCCUGAAAGUUAAAGAUUAGGAUAUUUCUAAAGUCUAG
rnacentral:lncRNA from 1 species